rnacentral:rRNA from 1 species
GUGGGGAAUUUUGGACAAUGGGCGCAAGCCUGAUCCAGCAAUGCCGCAUGCAGGAAGAAGGCCUUCGGGUUGUAAACUGCUUUUGUACGGAACGAAACGGUCCUGGCUAAUAUCCGGGGCUAAUGACGGUACCGUAAGAAUAAGCACCGGCUAACUACUUGCCAGCAGCCGCGGUAAUACGUAGGGUGCGAGCGUUAAUCGGAAUUACUGGGCGUAAAGCGUGCGCAGGCGGUGCUGUAAGACAGGCGUGAAAUCCCCGGGCUCAACCUGGGAAUUGCGCUUGUGACUGCAGUGCUGGAGUGCGGCAGAGGGGGAUGGAAUUCCGCGUGUAGCAGUGAAAUGCGUAGAUAUGCGGAGGAACACCGAUGGCGAAGGCAAUCCCCUGGGCCUGCACUGACGCUCAUGCACGAAAGCGUGGGGAGCAAACAGGAUUAGAUACCCGUGUAGUCC